rnacentral:rRNA from 1 species
AUCUCCAAUCUUGUAUCUUAAUGUUGUUGCAGUUAAAAAGCUCGUAGUUGAAUUUCUGGCACUCCAGCUGCCCUCGGGCGUGCAUGGGGUUGUCAUCCGCGUUGGAGCCGUAUGUGUAGCAAUACCAUGCGGGGAAGGCGCAUUUUACUUUGAAGAAAUUAGAGUGUUCCAGGCAGGCUAUGCUUGAAUAUUACAGCAUGGAAUAAUGGAAUAGGACUUGUCCUUUUCGUUGGUUAAUUGGACUAGUAAUGAUUAACAGGGACAGUUGGGGGCAUUCGUAUUGGGCAGUCAGAGGUGAAAUUCUUUAAUUUGCUCAAGACGCACUAAUGCGAAAGCAUUUGCCAAGGAGGUUG